rnacentral:rRNA from 1 species
GACGAACGCUGGCGGCGUGCUUAACACAUGCAAGUCGAGCGGUAAGGCCCUUUCGGGGUACGACGAGCGGCGAACGGGUGAGUAACACGUGGGUGACCUGCCCUCCAGCUCUGGGAUAAGCCUGGGAAACCGGGUCUAAUACUGGAUAUGACUCCAUGACGCAUGUUGUGGGGUGGAAAGCCUUGUGCGGCUGAGGAUGGGCCCGCGGCCUAUCAGCUUGUUGGUGGGGUGAUGGCCUACCAAGGCGACGACGGGUAGCCGGCCUGAGAGGGC